rnacentral:lncRNA from 1 species
GGUCCUGAGCCAGAUUCCUCAAACCUUGCCAUGCGUGCCACACCCUGACCGCUCGCUGCGGGCAACCCUGGGUAGAGCACCCUUUCUCUCGCUGUCCAUCUCAGGGAUGCUGCCGCCCUCUGUAUGUGAGCUCCCCUAACAGGUGCCCUGGGCCGUCACGCUGGUGCUUUGGGCUUGGCUCUUUGCAGUCCCAGCCCCAUCUCGGAGGUUCGCUCUUUGCAGUCCCAGCCCCGUCUCGGAGGUUCGCUCUUUGCAGUCCCAGCCCCGUCUUGGAGGGAGGGGGUUGAGACACCCCCUCCAAAGAGCUCCCCUGUUGCUGCUUUUGGGCAGCCUCGGGCUGAGCGGGAUGAAGCAGUGUGCACCCUUUUAUGGCCCGCCCUCAGCAUUACACAUCACUACACACACAGCAUAUCUGACCUCUGGACCAGCUGCUGUGGAUUCUGAGGAAGGGUGCACAUUUUGCAUGACGGGGUCAUGCACUUCCAGGCACAGACCCAGCCCUGCGCGUGCAGCUGCACAUGCGAGCGAGUCAUCUGCACUGCGGUUUCCCAUCCAAACUGGAAUUCGCAACACCCAUUUCUCAGCGGAAUACAGAGGAACCACGCAGACACUAACCGUGGACACAUGCCACACAGAUGCCGUGGCCACAUGGUGCUGUAGGAAGGAACCAGGCCCAGGAGCACAGCCGUGUGCCCCUCCCUGGGAAGCCAGACACGGACAGCCAGGAGCGCUGGGCCUUGCAAAGGGGCGCGUGUCUCCGAGGCUUACGCUGAGGGUGCGCUGGUCGGGUUUCACGGAGCUGCACCCUUCAGCCCUGUGCACUGUGCUGUGUGUUACUUAUGCCCCCGUCAAGUCCUGCUGUUUUUUUAAAAAAUCCAAACUGGAAACCAAUCUAUGGCAACAAAGGUCACCAGUGCUUCCUCUGGGGCUGACCCUCUGGGGUGGGCGAGAGGAGCGCAGCCCCUUUACCUGGCUGCAGCCACAUAGGGGAACACUGGGGUGCAAUGACCACACCUUGUACGUCAACAAGCAUGUAGCUAAAAUGAUAAAAUUUCUCACACCUGUAGUCCCAGCACUUUGGGAGGCUGAGGCAGGCAGGUCGCCUAAGGUUGGGAGUUCGAGACCAGCCUGACCAACAUGGAGAAACCUGUCUCUACCAAAA